GAUAUUUCCAAUUGUUUACACUAUAAUGGAAGGAUGCACUUUUGAUGAUUAUUUAAAUGUUGUAUAAAAAGUCAUCCACGUAAUUAAAUUAGCACCAGAAAUUAUAAUAUCAGAUUUUGAAAAAGCCGAGCGAAAGGCAUUACAAACGAUUUUUCCCAGAGCUAAAGUCAUUGGCUGCUUCUUUCAUUAUAGUCAGGAAAUAAAAGAUAACUAUAUACAAAACAAUAAACAUGAAAUACAUGUCAAUUUUCUUUAUACCGCUUUCUUAUUACAGGCCUUAAUACAUAAUGCUGAGAAGCACAACAUCCUAAAAGGCGACAAAAAGGAAUCAGAGAGACAUGGUUAAAUGGCUUCAAACCUCGUUCAUUUUGUGUUUUUCAACAGUUACACAGAACGAACAAUAUUUCUGAAAGACACAACCGAGAAUUACGAGAAAGCCUAAAGAAACAUUCAAAAAUAGUUGAAUUUUUAGCUAAUCUAAUUGAACACCAAAAAGACAUUCAAAGUAAACUGAAACAUCCAAACUUCUCGGUGAGAUCAGAG